rnacentral:rRNA from 1 species
AGUGGAUGGGGAGCAACCUAGUUGUGCGUGUGUAAAGGUAGUGCCAAGAAAAGCGAUGAUCAUGUUGAAAAUCAAUUCCCGGUACCCGAAACCGACACAGGUGGGCAAGAAGAGAAUACUAAGGGGCGCGAGGUAACUCUCUCCAAGGAACUCGGCAAAAUGACCCCGUAACUUAGGGAGAAGGGGUGCCACCGAGAGGUGGUCGCAGUGAAGAGGCCCAGGCGACUGUUUAGCAAAAACAUAGGUCUCUGCAAACUCGAAAGAGGAGGUAUAGGGGCUGACGCCUGCCCAGUGCCGGAAGGUUAAAGAAGUUGGUCAGUCUUAGGAUGAAGCUAGCGACUGAAGCCCCGGUGAACGGCGGCCGUAACUAUAACGGUCCUAAGGUAGCGAAAUUCCUUGUCGGGUAAGUUCCGACCCGCACGAAAGGCGUAACGAUCUGGGCGCUGUCUCGGAGAGAGGCUCGGCGAAAUAGGAUUGUCUGUGAAGAUACGGACUACCUGCAUUUGGACAGAAAGACCCUAUGAAGCUUUACUAUAGCUUGGAAUUGUGUUCGGGCUUCCUGUGCGCAGGAUAGGUGGGAGGCGUAGAAGGUAUUCUUGUGGGGAUACUGGAGCCAACGGUGAGAUACCACUCUCAGGAGGCUAGAAUUCUAACUUAAUUAAGGACAGUUUCAGGUGGGUAGUUUGACUGGGGCGGUCGCCUCCAAAAGGUAACGGAGGCGUACAAAGGUUCCCUCAGGCUGGUUGGAAAUCAGUCGAAGAGUGCAAAGGCAGAAGGGAGCUUGACUGCGAGAAGUACAGUUCGAGCAGGGUGGAAACACGGUCUUAGUGAUCCGACGGUGCUGUGUGGAAGGGCCGUCGCUCAACGGAUAAAAGUUACUCUAGGAUAACAGGCUGAUCUCCCCCAAGAGUUCACAUCGACGGGGAGGUUUGGCACCUCGAUUUCGGCUCAUCGCAACCUGGGGCGGAAGUACGUCCCAAGGGUUGGGCUGUUCGCCCAUUAAAGCGGUACGUGAGCUGGGUUCAGAACGUCGUGAGACAGUUCGGUCCAUAUCCGAUGUAGGCGUGAGAAUAUUGAGAGGAGCCUUCCUUAGUACGAGAGGACCGGGAAGGACGCACCGCUGGUGUACCUGUUAUGAUGCCAAUUGUAAACGCAGGGUAGCCAAGUGCGGAGAGGAUAACCGCUGAAAGCAUCUAAGUGGGAAGCCCACCUCAAGAUGAGUAUUCUGGUGUAAGGUCACGGGAAGACGACCCGUAAAUAGGCACGAGGUGGAAGUGCAGAGAUGUAUGAAGCCGAAGUGUACUAAUAGACCGUCGGCUUGACCG